UUUUUUUUUUGGUCACCUAGAACAAUGAGCAUGGGUUGAUUUUUUUUGGGAAAAAUAACACACUAAUGUGAUUUUGCAGUCCAAGUGCUUGAAGUUAGUUUUUCAAGCAGCAAAAACCAAAAAUGUGAAGUGUUACAAGAACAAGCCCUAAAUUAAUAUGGAACAAAGUUUCUCAACAUUACUCGAGGAUUUCCUUGAACUAAAAAUCUCACUUACCAUAAAUGAAACAAUUCUACCAUACCCAUCUACAAAGAAUCAACUGUAGGCUUCAAUCUCCAUCAACGCUACUCCAGGACACUUUCCUGCCUCACAAAUUGCAGAUAAGAACAGAACCAGGGGUAGCUUAGAUGGACAUACUGCUACGCAAAGCAAGCAUAGGUAAUUAUCUGCAGCCAAAUGUAAACAUGAUAACUCCAAUAAGCUUUGCUAAAUACUUUGAAUUACCUAAAGAAAACAUAGCAGUUAUUACCAAUCAAUCGCAAUCAUUACCUAGUUUCACAUAGCUAUACAUAUAACAGAACUGUUGCUCAGGUGUCUCACUAAUACCCUUGUUAUGAGUUUCAAGAUGCAAAAAAUUGGGCAGACACAGCCAAUCAAGAAGUAGUUUGGUUGGUUUCCCUCCACCUUUAAAGGUGCAGGAGUAAGAAGGUUUCAACUUUGAAUGUUCCCAUCUACUUAUUCUAAGAUUUAUCACCUUCAUGGUGAGAGUUGUUAAAAGGAGAGGGCCACCUCCUAUAUUGUGUAACUCAUCCGUUAUUCUUUGGCCCAUUAGACCUCCACUGAAUUAAAAAAACUUGGAUAAACACAAAAUACACGUACCAUCACAAUAAAGUUUCCAAGUAUACAGGUGCAAGAGGACAUAUUAAACAUGUAAGAGAUAUCAGAAGUCCACCUAAACAUGUGAAAGAGAUAUAAAGUCAUUGUUGGGCUCUUGCCAAAAAGCUUAAACUUUUAAGCCAAGUAGUUAUUACACAGAGUACCAAAGCAUACAUUAGGUUUCUAAACUCUACAGCCAUUCACCUUCUUUGUCAUUCAUUAGAAAGUGCUUCUUAUCUUAUUGUUCUCUUCUUUGUAGCCCAAUAAUAUUAUAUUCAGCAAAAGAUGGAAGUAAGCUUUUCUUUGUUUAUACUUCAACCCAUUGGCUUUUGCAUAAUGGGUGUCUUAGAGAUAUUUAAAUCAAUUCUUGAGCGUUCACCUACAUGCUUUAGCCUUUAGGUUGAAUGGAUAUUUUACAAUGUGAUAUAUUGCUCAUGAUUUUAAGUUGAUGCUGAGUAUGAUCCCUUAGUCUAGACAUACUUCAAUUUGCAGUUACAAAGUAUCUGUAACCAAGAAAUAUGGAAGAAAUACAAGGGAUCAUCACACUUAACUUCAAAUUAAGGAUCUGUAACCAUGAAAUAUGGAAUGAAAAUGCAGAAACCCAAUGAUUACAUACACACAAACAGAAAGAAUUUGUUCUGCGUGCAGUAAAGAUUGACAACUAAACUUCCAAACCACUAGAUGAGAGAAAAGACGAAAUGGGACACCAACUCUUACAAAGUGUGACCAAAUCAACCAUGCUGAAUUUGGAACAAAGCAGAGCAUUAGACCUAAUGGUAAAAAGAAAUAGGCAGAAAACCUGCAACUACAAUAUAUAGUCAUAAGACAAAUGUUCUACACUUCUAUUAACCAUCAAUCCUCAAGGAUUCCCCUGAUGUUAUGAUUUUAUGCACCAGGUAAAGCCCCCAACCUCUUGAUUGUGCUUCUUAUUAUUAUACUGACAUCAAGAGAACAUCAUGCUGAAUUCAAAAUGAAGCAGACGAUUAGACCUAAUGGAGAAAACACAUAGGCAGCAAGCCUGCAACUAAAUUAUAUAGUCCUAACAGUUUCUCUACUAACCACAACACUCAAUGAUUCCCUCAGUUACAACUUUAUGAUUUUAUCCACCAUGUAAAGCCCCAGACCUCUUGAUUUAUAUUUCUUAAGCUUACACUGACAUCCUGAGAUUCUCUUGAUAUAAGGGCUAAGACAUGGCAAUUUGGCCAAAGUGGCAACUCAACCUCUAUUCAUGUAGAAGAGAAAGCUUCCACCAGUUACCCAACAUAUUACACCUCAGCAACAUGUAAUGAUCUAGAGCACAGCAGGCAAGGUGGAAUUCAUUGUAGUCCAUUACUUUUUAGAGAAUUGCUAGUAUAUCAUGAAAUAACAUCGUUAAAAACAGCAAAUUUCAUAUUAGAUUUAUCUUAUUCUUUCAAAACCAGCUGAUACUACAAAUAUCAAGACUUCAAGUUCCUUUCAGCUUUUAUAGAUAGUCAUGAAUAAACCAAGAAAGAAGAAGAGAAAGAAAGAAAUGACCAUCAAAGAGUAAUGUUGUAUGAAUUACAUACACAACCAACUGUAAUCAUCACAAGAACUUAAUCCUAUGCCGCACGAACCAUAGCAAGCAGGAACCAAGAAGAAUGAUCAAAGAUGGGGGGGAAAAUUAUGUUCCUUUUAACUUACAAGCUGUGCAUCCUCUAUGCAUCUUAACGUGUCCCCUGUGGUAGCAGCAUUAUGCUAAAAAACAAAUCCAUGAGGGGGAAAAAAGACAUAACUAAAACUAAAACUUUGACUUAAACAGGAGCCAAGAGGUACUAAACAUGGAGCAACAGAACGAAGACAACAGUGCAACUGGACUGGGUACUAAUAUGAACCCAAAGAGAAAUAAGUAAAAAAUAAUCAACCAGAACCGCAGCAUGUUGCUUUUUUCUAUGUUGUAGUCAAUACACAGCUACAUUUCCAUUAACUGUUAGAGAAAAGUUUAAAUCUUCAACCCAUGCCGGGCAUCAACAAACAUUUCAUUUAGAAUCUUCAUCACUUACCAGCUUGAAAUUAUUAUUAUUAUUAUUGUUUUGAAAAAAAGCUUGAAAUUAAUUAAUCAUUUGCAAAUAAAAUAUCUAAGCGUUCUUUACAAUGUCCCAAUGAAACCACUCGCUCUUUUAAGUACCAGGUCAAGAAAAUAUAUAUAAAACGUAGUUUUAAAGACACCAGGUUAAUCAAAGGCCAAAGACGUAUGUGACCGAAAAUUUAACCACUGAAUCAAUAAAUUCAUAAAAAGCUAAAGUAGUCACCUUUAAUUUGUUCUAUAGUUUACUACUUAGAGAUAGAACAAUGUAAGUUACUGGGGAACACCAGCAGCAGCACCAUCAACUGGAUUUGCCAAAUCAGCUGGAAUGAUUUCAGCUUCCAAGAAGCGACUCAGAUGUUUAUCAUCCAAAUGUUCAGAGAGGCAUGCUCUAUAUUUCUGCCACUCAGAAACGCAUUCCUCCUUUUCCCAUUUACCCUUCACAAACUUCUCUGAGUACCACCUGUUGAAGCAAUUGUAGUAAGCAGCUCUGAGAUGAGCACAUGGCGAUGUUGAAGAAGAAGAAGAAGAGGGAGCUUUCUUG
rnacentral:misc_RNA from 1 species